UACAGAGGUCUCAAGCGUUGUCCGGAAUUAUUGGGCGUAAAGAGCUCGUAGGCGGUUUGUCGCGUCUGCUGUGAAAACUCGGGGCUUAACCCCGGGCCUGCAGUGGGUACGGGCAGACUAGAGUGCGGUAGGGGAGACUGGAAUUCCUGGUGUAGCGGUGAAAUGCGCAGAUAUCAGGAGGAACACCGGUGGCGAAGGCGGGUCUCUGGGCCGUAACUGACGCUGAGGCACGAAGGCCAGGGGAGCAAACGGG
rnacentral:rRNA from 1 species